CCUACGGGUGGCAGCAGUGAGGAAUAUUGGUCAAUGGCCGUAAGGCUGAACCAGCCAAGUAGCGUGAGGGAAGACUGCCCUAUGGGUUGUAAACCUCUUUUAUGCGGGGAUAAAGGUGUCCACGUGUGGAUGUUUGCAGGUACCGCAUGAAUAAGGAACGGCUAAUUCCGUGCCAGCCGCCGCGGUAAUGCGGAAGGUCCGGGCGUUAUCCGGAUUUGUUGGGUUUAAAGGGAGCGUAGGCCGGGUUUUAAGCGUGCCGUGAACUUUUGUGGCUCAAACAUGAGAGUGCGGCGCGAACGGGAGACCCUGAGUGUGCGGAAGGCAGGCGGAAUUCGUGGUGUAGCGGUGAAAUGCUUAGAUAUCACGAAGAACCCCGAUUGCGAAGGCAGCCUGCCGCAGCGUUACUGACGCUGAAGCUCGAAAGCGCGGGUAUCGAACAGGAUUAGAUACCCGAGUAGUC
rnacentral:rRNA from 1 species